UACGUAGGGGGCUAGCGUUGUCCGGAUUUAUUGGGCGUAAAGAGCGUGUAGGCGGCCAGGUAGGUCUGGUGUGAAAACUCGAGGCUUAACCUCGAGAUGUCAUCGGAAACCAUCUGGCUAGAGUCCGGAAGAGGAGAGUGGAAUUCCUGGUGUAGCGGUGGAAUGCGUAGAGAUCCGGAAGAACACCGGUGGCGAAGGCGGCCUGCUGGGCUAUGGCUGACACUGAGGCGCGACAGCGUGGGGAGCAAACAGG
rnacentral:rRNA from 1 species